rnacentral:rRNA from 1 species
AGUGAACGCUGGCGGUAGGCCUAACACAUGCAAGUCGAACGGCAGCACAGUAAGAGCUUGCUCUUACGGGUGGCGAGUGGCGGACGGGUGAGGAAUACAUCGGAAUCUACUUUUUCGUGGGGGAUAACGUAGGGAAACUUACGCUAAUACCGCAUACGACCUACGGGUGAAAGCAGUGGAUCUUCGGACCUUGCGCGAUUGAAUGAGCCGAUGUCGGAUUAGCUAGUUGGCGGGGUAAAGGCCCACCAAGGCGACGAUCCGUAGCUGAUCUGAGAGGAUAAUCAGCCACACUGGAACUGAGACACGGUCCAGACUCCUACGGGAGGCAGCAGUGGGGAAUCUUGGACAAUGGGCGCAAGCCUGAUCCAGCCAUACCGCGUGGGUGAAGAAGGCCUUCGGGUUGUAAAGCCCUUUUGUUGGGAAAGAAAAGCAGCAGGUUAAUACCCCGCUGUUCUGACGGUACCCAAAGAAUAAGCACCGGCUAACUUCGUG